UACUGCUAGUGCUGCAGUGAUGACAGGUUAUCUGCUGCUAGUGCUGCAGUGAUGACAGGUUAUCUGCUGCUAGUGCUGCAGUGAUGACAGGUUAUCUGCUGCUAGUGCUGCAGCAUUGACAGGUUCUUGGGUGCUGAUGCUGCAGCAUUGCCAGGCGCUCUGUUGCUGUCCAAAAUGUAUUGCAAAUUAGGUUGGCAUAAUAAAAAUUUUGAAGUUUGUUUACAAUUGAUGGUUUGUAUGUAUUGGGAUGUACUGUCUUAUCUAGUCAGCAGCUGAUUGAGUUUAUAUAAACCCAAUCAAACCAGCAGAGAGAGGUGGAGCAGUACAUGUCUGUUCAUAGUAAUGCCAUAAUUAUGCACAAUUUGUAACAGUUCCCUGUGGAACACUGAACUUGUCAGAUACUUUUUUGUAGGUUUUGUAAUAUGUUCUUAGUGAACAUUUUGUUUUGAUCUCAAAUUGCUUUAGUUCAGCACAUGUUCAAUAUACUAUAUAAAUGUGCAGAACUAUUAUCCGUUGGCUGUGUAAGUUUGCAUUCCUGAAAGUCAUGUGUAAGUUCUGAUAUUUUAAGGAAAUGUAUUUUCAAUUUAGUGCAGAAUAGUGUGUGUAAAGCAAGCCAAUUUAUAGACUUAUUUUAAUGGGUUUCUGUCAUUGACCCCCUUGGGGUUUAGUGCUCUUCCCCCCAUGAAUUAAAUUAUAAUCCUCUCAUUGGCAGCAUGGUGUCAAAUUAAACCUCUCAAAGAUACUGAUUAUAUAUGCACUUUUCAGAUAUUAAUUUGCAAUAUAUGACAUCUGAGGUGUUAUGUUUUGCUAAAUAUCAAAAACUUUUAACUUCAAAACAGGGAACUGAUAAAGUAUACAAAUAAUGGUUUGGUAAUAUAUAUAAGAACAAAUGAUAGAAAUAAUAAUACAAAUACAUAAUGAAAAAUGUCAGCAUUAAGGAAUUGGUGAACAUUUGGAGGAUUUCUUUUUAUCAGUUUGUAAGCAGGAGUGAGAUAACUAAGUAAGUAUAGAGAUUUAAUUAUGAUUAAACAUUAAAAUAAUUUCAUCUUCAUAGACAAAAUUCCAUUAAUAUGAGCUUAUAAAAUUGUUUAAAGGGAGAACUAGCCAAACAAUUGUAAUUGUCAAUUUGAGUUUGAGAAAAGUGAGCUCCAGGUCUUGGGCUUGCCUGUUAACUUUUGACUGAAGUGAAUAAGGCCUGUUAUGCCUUGUUUUUGUACCCAUGUAUAGAAUCUGCUGCCAAUGAGUCAAAUGUUUGAUGAAACCUUUAUAUCAACUAUGUACAAAGAUUAACAACCCAUCAAUAUUUGGUUUAGAUUUUGGGAAAAUGAUGUAAAUGAAAUUUAGAUUAUUAUUAAUGAAAUAAAUGACUUACCACUUACUGUAAAUGAUGUCUUGCUCAGACAUGUAUUUGAUUGAGGAUGAGAAUCUCCAAUAAUUACAGCUGUCAGUCCCUUUCAGGUUUAGUGCUUUGAUUAUAUGAUUAUCAUUACAGCUGUCAGUUUUGUAGAUGUUGCUUAGGAUGUCUGCAUUAUAAAAUGGCACAAGGUGUUAACUGAAUGUAAAUUUUUAUCUCCACUUGUGCUAACUACAUUUUUAGUUCCAUUUACUCAGUAUAAUAUGACAGAACCACUCAAAUAUUUUUAGUACAGAAUAUACCUUUUCUGAAGGGAUGACUACUUAUGGCUUAAAUACAGGUACCAUCUGACUUACGACCGAGCUUGGUUCCGACCAACCGGUCGUAAGUCAGAAUGGACGUAAGUCGAACCUUACUACUGAAUGUCAACAUCACAUUUUUUGUAAUGACUUUAUUUUAUUGUUUUGUUUUGGUAUUUCAUUUUUUACUUUACUUUUUAUGCUGUUAGUACUGUAUUUUAUACUGUAAGGUUUAGGAUAAACACUGUGUACAACACAAACAGUUGUUUAUUUCCCAGAAAUUUGGCAUACAAAACACAGUCAUAAGUCGAGUGGUCGUACGUUGAGCAGGUCGUAAGUCGGAUGGUAGGUGUAUUCGUCUGACUCCAUUUUGACCCUUCUGGAUUUAGCACUUAGUUAUGAUUAUUAUAAUAAUAAUCUGACUCUGUCUUUCUCAUUGAGUACGAGGAUUUUUUUCUUUUUUAACACGUGUAGUUAUUGAGAAAAUACCCUUUUCCUUGCCACAUGACUUCUCUUGAUAACUCCAGUGUCAGUUGUGUGUAUAUGCUCUUGGGUUUGAAUUCAACAAAGUCAACAUUUUAAAUACUUGAUACAAGAGCUUAGCCAUAAAAAAAAAUGCUGUACAACUAAUCUUGGGAAGCUUCACUUCUUCAGGCAUUUUUUAUAUACACUAUUUAAUUAUGACCACCUGGAUGUUAUUUAUUAUUUUUUAGUAAUACUCUAAGCUGCAGAAAUUAUUGGUAGAUAUAAGCACAGCACAAGUGCUGAUGAUGCAGAGUGAAAGCCUUGUAGGAAUUGAACUUAAUGGGAUAAAGGCUUAUAAAGUGAAAUGUUGCAUAAAAUAGUUUACUUCCUAUAUGUUGUUUCAACUCUGCAUUGCUGCAUUUAUUGCAUUUAAGAAAUUGUAAGGGAUUGAGAGUCAUCA